UACGGAGGGUGCAAGCGUUGCUCGGAAUUACUGGGCGUAAAGGGCGUGUAGGCGGUUUCGUAUGUCUGGCGUGAAAGCCCCGGGCUCAACCUGGGAAUUGCAUUCGAGACUGAAUAGCUAGGGUACGGUAGAGGGAAGCGGAAUUUCCGGUGUAGCGGUGAAAUGCGUAGAUAUCGGAAGGAACAUCAGUGGCGAAAGCGGCUUCCUGGACCAGUACCGACGUUCAGGCACGAAAGCGUGGGGAGCAAACAGG
rnacentral:rRNA from 1 species